GACGAACGCUGGCGGCGUGCUUAACACAUGCAAGUCGAACGGAGCGCCUUGGAAAGAGAUUUCGGUCAAUGGAAGAGGCUGCUUAGUGGCGGACGGGUGAGUAACGCGUGAGGAACCUGCCUUUCAGAGGGGGACAACAGUUGGAAACGACUGCUAAUACCGCAUAAUGUACGGGUAUCGCAUGGUAUCUGUACCAAAGAUUUAUCGCUGAGAGAUGGCCUCGCGUCUGAUUAGCUGGUUGGUGAGGUAACGGCCCACCAAGGCGACGAUCAGUAGCCGGACUGAGAGGUUGGCCGGCCACAUUGGGACUGAGAUACGGCCCAGACUCCUACGGGAGGCAGCAGUGGGGAAUAUUGGGCAAUGGGCGCAAGCCUGACCCAGCAACGCCGCGUGAAGGAAGAAGGCUUUCGGGUUGUAAACUUCUUUUAAGAGGGAAGAGCAGAAGACGGUACCUCUUGAAUAAGCCACGGCUAACUACGUGCCAGCAGCCGCGGUAAUACGUAGGUGGCAAGCGUUGUC
rnacentral:rRNA from 1 species